rnacentral:rRNA from 1 species
UACGUAGGGUGCAAGCGUUGUCCGGAAUUAUUGGGCGUAAAGAGCUUGUAGGCGGUUUGUCGCGUCUGCUGUGAAAACUCGAGGCUCAACCUCGAGAUGUCGGCGGAAACCGUCUGGCUAGAGUCCGGAAGAGGAGAGUGGAAUUCCUGGUGUAGCGGUGAAAUGCGCAGAUAUCAGGAAGAACACCUAUGGCGAAGGCAGCUCUCUGGGACGGUACUGACGCUGAGACGCGAAAGCGUGGGGAGCGAACAGG